CAACAUAAACAACAACACUCGGGGUGAGACCUGCGAUCACGAAAGUUGUGUAAGUGAUUGGUAAACGACUUUUCCUCUUACGUUCGUUGCCACAAACUAUCGCGGACGUUCCUUGAACUUCGAACAACGAGCGACCGUGAACGUCCGUAUUGCGGCCCUCGACCAAUGGAAUAAGAAAAAUGAAAAGAUACAUCCAGAAGGCAAUCGAUUUCGGCGUAGAAUCCGGUUAUCUCAUUCCGAAAGACGCGGCGUACAAAGUUUUCCGUGUAUCUUCGGAUCUCAUGAACGAAGGCAAUUAAGAAAGUAAGGAUAGAAAGUCGGACAGCACUGUUUCACAAGUUGAGGACAGAAGGCCUCGUCGAACGCCGAUUAGAUUCGAAGACAACGAGGUGCAGGACACCAAGGAGCGACAACGUAGAAACAGGAGGAGAAGAGGUUCAUGGCGAAGGAGAUCCAGGAGUGGAUCCAGAAGAAGGCGAAAGAGGACGCGAAGGAUAUCACGAAGAAGACACGGCAGGAGACGUGACGAAUCUGGAGCCGAGGAAGAAGUGGUAGAGAUCGAGAACGACGAUGAUUACAACUUCGAGAAACAGGGAGAGAAAAGGAAGAGUCCGGAUAACGCGAACGUAAGCGAGAAAAACGAACGUCUAAAUCAGUCCGAUGGUGAAAAAAAAGCAGAGAAGGCAGAGGACGAUAGUUCGGAUCUGUCCAUCGAGGAGGACGAAAGUGACGACGAGGAAGGAAAAAAGAGAGAAGAUACGACAAAAUCGUAAACGUGGAUACAUCGACAAAUUGAUCGUGUUGUGUCAAACUCAUACCUUGAGAUUAUGACGUCAAAUGAAACUGUUUAUUCAUAUAAAAGAGAUGAAAUGUCUCGUGGUAAUAUUUUCUUAUUGGAAUUCUUCUUGCAAUUGACAAUUAUGUAGAAUACUUAUUUAUGGUCGUGGUGAUUCAUACAAGUGUAGUCAUGAGUAAUAGGUUCACGUUUACAUUUUUUGACAAUAAAACAAUAUUAUUGUGAAACUUAUAAUUAGAUUUAUUCCAUUACAUAUCGCGAUAGUGGAAAUUGAUUUUACUCAUUUUCUUUAAAAAGAUAGGGUUUGAUACUAUUUGGAAUUUGAUUGAAAUUCAAGCUAUUUAUUUUAAUAAUUUAACUUAUAUGAAUAGAAACUUGAAUUCAACUAAUUUCAAGCUCAAGCUUGAGUCACUUAAAUACAAGCAACUUUAUUAAUCUGAACGACAUUUACUUCAAAAGGUACAACAACUAGUGGUUUUUUGGUGACGGGUACUUUCCGCAGAUAAAGAUCCAUACAGCACCCGAGUCCCCUGGACCACUUGGGGUUGGGUAAACGCCCAACCGUCGCGCAAGGCACACAGUGCCUUGCUUCCUGGAUUAGCGAGGCCUGCAGGGGCUGUCGCUCGUCUCAGGUCGAACGGGGCCCUUUCUAAGCCCUUCCGUCUACCGUGACGGUACCGGAGCAGGUGGGACGCUGCUCACACGCCGAAGGCCAUUCGGUGUAGGCAGACACCUUAAUCCGGCCCUCUUGCCAGCAUCUUGACCAUCAACCACUGCCACCACGAGUCCAUACCCAUUAUUUGGCCGAGCAGAGGGGUCACUACUCCCUCCGGGCUGUAACUCGACCCGCCCGUGGUACCAACCUAAGUCGUUGGUGGGACUAUCGUGUGGAUGUACGGCCACGUCACUACCGGCCGGGCGUCCUGCUAACCGAGCUCGGCAGUUCCAGAUGGGACUCACGUAAGCGGGGAUCACA
rnacentral:misc_RNA from 1 species